CGGGGUUGAGUAACGGCGUAGAACAAACCCUGCCCUCUAAACUGGGGACAACACCGCGAAAAGUGGUGCUAAUACCGAAUGUGGUAACUUGGCUGGCAUGGCUGAGCUUAAGAAAGAUGGCCUCUUAGCAAUGCUAUCGUUUAGAGAUGGGUCUGCGUCUGAUUAGCUAGUUGGUGAGGUAAAGGCUCACCAAGGCGACGAUCAGUAGCCGGUCUGAGAGGAUGAACGGCCACACUGGGACUGAGACACGGCCCAGACUCCUACGGGAGGCAGCAGUGGGGAAUCUUCCGCAAUGGACGAAAGUCUGACGGAGCAACGCCGCGUGAGUGAAGAAGGUCUUCGGAUUGUAAAGCUCUGUCGUUUGGGACGAACGUGGGUUGAGUGAAUAAUUCAGCCUAA
rnacentral:rRNA from 1 species